rnacentral:lncRNA from 1 species
CGCGUGCGCAAGACCGCCGCCGUCUGCUGGAAGUUCUUUGCAGCCGGGCGCGGGCUGCAGAUGCGGUCUCGGCUUUUCCUGCGGCGGGUGGAUCAUCUCAAUGAGUGCCGGUCCCCUCUAGGAAAGAACGAAAUCCCCCGGCUACCCGCCUGUGUGCGUUAGAAGGCCGUCAGGGUGGUCGCGCUGCGGUCAGUGUUGUCGGCGCCCCCUCCCACGUGCACCCCGCAAUGGGACAGGCCGGCAAGUGCCUGUGCGCUGAGCUGGAGGAAGGGACGCGCCUCCUCAGAAGGGCUGCGGCACAAGCCGCCUUCCGGGCAGGUCUGUUGCAGGUGUUUAAUUCCCUUUACAAAUUCUUUACUGUGCAAAAAUAAACUUGUGAGUCAGUUCCCCAGGCAGUGUGGACAGUGCUUGGCAUUGGAGAUGCAACUCCUAGGCUUGCCUGGGCGACCAACCCGGGGGUUGGUCACACCAGCCAGCACCGAGUUGGCAGCACUCUUUAGGGAACUGUCCCCAUCGUUUGCUUCCCGGGUGAUGCGGGUGUCCAGAGUGAGGGUAGCGAGGUUGACAGUGGCAUUGUUUGGAAUGCAACGCUGACCAUGCGUUCUGUGAAGUCUGAAGCACAGGCCAGUCACUGUUGGUAUUUGCUGUGGCAGGCAGACAAGCCUAGAGAGCGCAAGGGCCCUGGUCUCCCACCAACGCAGAUCCUCUAAG